rnacentral:rRNA from 1 species
CACGUAAAAAACAAGCGUUGUCCGGAAUCAUUGGGCGUAAAGAGCUCGUAGGCGGCUCAGUAAGUCGAAUGUGAAACCCCCAGACUCAACCUGGAGACGCCACCCGAUACUGCUGUGGCUAGAGUCCAGUAGGGGAGAGUGGAAUUCCUGGUGUAGCGGUGAAAUGCGCAGAUAUCAGGAAGAACACCCGUGGCGAAGGCGGCUCUCUGGACCGAGACUGACGCUGAGGCGCGAAGGCGUGGGGAGCAAACAGG